CCGACUUCGGCUCAGGUCAUGAUCUCACGGUUUGUGAGUUUGAGCCCCGCGUCGGGCUCUGUACUGAGAGCUUGGAGCCUGGAGCCUGCUUCAGAUUCUGUGUCUUCCUCUCUCUUUGCCCUUCCCCCACUCAUGCUCUAUCUCUCUCUGUCUCUCAGAAAUAAAUAAGUGCAAAAAAAAUUUUUUAAGUAUACAAUUUGUUCGGUUUUAGUACAUUCAAAGAUUUGGGCAAUCAUCACAGUUUAAUUUUAGAACAUUUUCAUCACUCCAGAAAGACCUCAUACGCAUUAGCAGUUACCCCUCAUCCCUCACUCCUCCAUCCCCUGGCAGCCACUCAUCUACUUUCUGUCUCUAUGCAUUUGCCUAUUCUGACACAAGUGAUUGAACGACGUGUGUGUGUGUGUGUGUGCACAUGUGCAUGGAUGCGUGUAGAAGGACUCUUCACUCCAGGCCUUGAGCUGGGGCUGCUGUAGAAGAACCAAAAGAUAUAUUAUCAAGGCCAUUGCCAUCCUGGAACUGACAGUGCCAGUAAAGACAGAGGGCAAGCCCGGAUCCCCAGGGACAAUUAAACUGAGGUGCUAAGUGUGUGCAGAACCAAUGUGGGAACUGUCAGAGCAGUCUGGGAGACAGGACAGACCUUGGAACUAGAGAAAUUUAGGUACAAACAAAAGCAGAUCCAAGUAUCCACUGGGCCACCUGCAGGGACAGCGGACCUGACAUAGUGUCAAAUAAGAGAAAGGGAUAAGGGGUAUAUGUAGUGAAAGCUAGAAAAACACCCUCAGGCAGAGAAAUACUAUUAAACAUUUUUAAUAUCCCCUUACCCUUAUAGCCUACUUUCCAAUAAAUAUUUUAUGUAAGAAUAAUGUUUAUCAUUACAAAAGGAGUAUGUGUGCACCAUAGAAAAUUAGAGAAUAUGCAUAAGCAAAAAAAAGAAAACAAAGACAUUUUGUUUCUAAAACCUAGAUUAUCACCAUUAACCUUUUAUUGCGUAUCCUUCCAGAAUAGGUUCUACCUGUAUCUACUUAUACAUCUAUAGCUGUUCUUUACCAAAAUUAGAUCACAGUGGGGGCGCCUGGGUGGCUCAGUCGGUUAAGCAUCCAAGUUUGGCUCAGGCCACGAUCUCACAGGUGGUGGGUUCGAGCCCUGUGUCAGGCUCUGUGCUGACAGCUCAGAGCCUGGAGCCUGCUUUGGAUUCUGUGUCUCCCUCCCUCUCUGCCCCUCCCCCACUCACACUCUGUCUCUUUGUCUCUCUCAAAAAUAAAUAAACAUUAAAAAAAUUAGAUCACAGUGGACAUGUUUGGUAUCUUGCUUUCUUCUUUUAGUAAUUUCUACCUAACAUGUCAGUAAUUUGCUCUCCAAUUGUCACCUUAGAUCUUGAGACCCACACUGUCAUGGAUCAAAAGGAUCCACAUGAAGAACAUUGUUGAAAAAAAUGGGAUUUGGGCAUCAAGAUUGGGAGUGAAUUUUUGAAACCCUUUAAAAAUACUGUCAUGUUUACCACCACAAAGAAGUUGGUAUUUUAAGGAUAACAUACAUCUGAUCCCAUCCUUGGGAGACUUCGACUCUGGCUGGAUCUCCCCCAUGUGUCAGGCUGAGUCUCGGUGGUCAGACGUGAAAAGCAGUCCUGAUUUCAAGUUUGUUAUUCCUAAACUGAUGUUCUUUCUAAACAAAAGAGCUAGGUCUUACUGUGUCAUGUUGUUUCCUGGUGAGCUGAAGGAGUCCUUGGUUUCCCUCACCACGUUUCUUUGGAGAAAUAAAAAAAAAAAAAACUUAAGUUUUCUUUCAACAUUAUACUAAUAGAUGUUAUUUCCCUUUUGAGCAAAUUCUGAUAAAUAGCUGCAAUUUUAAAAUUUUAAUAAGGUGAUCAUUUAACCUACAAAAAUAUCCUCCACAUGAUUCCAAAAAGCACUUUGUGCCAUGUUUUAAGUGAUUAGCAUAGCAAACAUUUAUUUGCCAUUUUUCUCAGAAACAUGCCUGUUAAGUAAACUGAGGCAUGCCAUUAGAAGCUGUAGAUUUUAUGAAGAAAAAAAAAAGAUGGGGCCGUUUGGAAAAACAAGAGGAACGUAGUAAGGUUACCUUAGGAUGUGGCAGGGACAUACGCUUCAGGAUAUAGACAGAAUUGAAACACUUGUAUGCUCUCUUGCUGGCUUUUUAAACAUGGUAAGUAUCAUUUGUCCGAGUCUCAUUUUUCUCAUCUGUAAAAGGGAUAUAAAGAUCCACAACUCUCAGCAUUUUUGUAAGGAGUAAAUGAGAACUUCUGGAAGAAGUGACACAGUGAGUUGACACUGAUAAAUGGUAAUACUACCUCACACUUCCAUAAUGCUUAAUGUGUGCCUGGCACUCUUCUAGAUACUUGACAUACAUUGAGUCAUUUAAUAUGACAGCCCGACAGGCAGGUAUUGUCAUCACUGUCUCUAUUUCACAGAUAAGGAAACUGAGGCCAAGAGAAAUUAUGCAGCUGACCCAGGGUGACACAACUGGUGUGUUGUAGAACUGAGAUUUGAACCCAGGAGAUAGGACUUCAGAAUCAGUGCUCCUAAUCAUUCUAUCACCCCUUACAGUAGUUCUGUUUUUCCUUUUCCUUUUCUUUCUUUCUGUCCUUUUUUUUUUCUGUCAAGUGUAGUCAUUUUUUACCUGUUCAAUGAUUAUUUAUGGAAUGUUUGCACUACCCCUGUGUGAGGUUGUGCGAGGUCCCUGCCCUUGUUAAACUUACCCUAUUAUUCAUCUCAACUGCCUUGCUUUCACUGAACGGUAAUUACUUUCCUUUGGUGACCUACAUUGGGUACUUUGAUGUGGAGAUGGCAUCAUGGGCUUGAGGGUGGGUCUGGCUUUGUAGGCAGGCACCCUGUUUAGUCACAUUGAAUCCCCCACUCAGAAGGGCCCCACGCUUGGUUUAGUGCUUUGCCGUUGCUGUCUUGAAAUUUUUAAUAAUUUUAUCCUUGAACUUGUGUUUUGUUAAGUGAGCCCCAAGGAGACAUGUGCAAUUUGUGUGCCUCCUGCCCCUUGUUCCUCUGUUCACCCAUAGCCUUCAACAUGCCACCGUCGACACAGAAUUUCAGUGGACCCGUGAUGCAUGGCGUCCAGUGAGUUUCAAAACAAGUAUAUGAGAAGUGUGUUAAAUGUAUGACCACGUAAGCAGGGCAGUGGUGGCUGCUGCCAUCCUGGGGAGAUCAUGCUGUCUGUUCUGAAAGAAACUUAUUUUGAACAUGCAGAAAGAAGGUAAGCGUGUUCUAAGAAACGUGGAAUCAGGGCACCCUAUCCUAGCCUUUUUUCUGCUUGCUUCCCUGUUUGGAAACCACCUGUGGUAUUGGUAUGUGGCAUUAGCCGACCAUAUACAUUGAAAGCGAUGACAUAGAAGAAAGGGGAAGGAUACGGUGACCUUUUCCUUCCAGUCCUUCCUUGCUCAUCAGUAAGCCAGAGGUAGACAGUAUUGGUAAAUGUGCUCAUAUCAAGAAGCAAAACAAAAACAAUUGUGUUGUUUUGUGCAGCAUUUCCACUGCUCUGAUAAAAGCAUGCACACGCUAUGAAAAUGACGUGUGUAAUUUUGGUGAUUCUGUAAAUAAAUGCUCCUUUAUCUGCAUUUAAAACUUCCAUUAGUCCAUAGAAGAAUGAACAUUAAAAUACAUGCUAGUGAUUAAAAUUUUUAAAUUUUGCUUUACUUAGAAUAACAUUAAACAGAAAAUUAAAAACAGCAUGACGAGAGAGAGAGAGACCACAGAAGAAAGGAGAAGCUUUAUAUUUUAAUAUCUCUAACAGCACUUUUUUCCUGCUUUUUGAACCAGAUCUCCCAAGUGUUUAUUUUCCACUGGGCCCCACACGUUGCACGUGAUGCCGCCUGAGGGUGGAAAAUAGCAAGGAACACAGAGGUUUACACGAAAUACCAUACUGGUCUUUUGCAAAGCAGAGUCAUUCCAGCUGAGAACAGGGAUCCCCAUGCCCAGUAUAGACUUGCUCCUAUUCUGGUUAAAUUGUUGGGAGAUAAAUGCAACAUGCUCACUUGCCUCAGAAGUUUCUAGAGUAAAAUGAACAACAACAACAACAACAAAAAGACAAAAGCAAGAAAAUCUGAAACCAAUUUAAAAGCAUUUACAAUCUGUAGGUAAAGAAAGUUCAUAAAUGUGUUCAUUUUUCACUUCUAAAGGACUUAGUCACAGUACCUAGAUCUGUGAGACAAGUUCAUAUCGAAUCUAGAUGAGAAGGCAUCCUAAUAUUUGUGUCAUCUUAACCUAACAAUAACAAAACUUCUUACCAUGUCAUCAUUCUCUCUUGACUGUGAUCAUCAGAGCAGCAUAGGCUGCCUACAUGGUCACCCAUGGUACUUCAUUAUCUUGGGUUCUAUGUUAUUUGGGUGGCAUGUGACUGAUUCUGGCAAGUAGGAAUUGGGUGAAUGGAAUAUAUCCCUCUCCAAGGCCUCACCAUAAAUACCCUGUAUGAAAAUCAUCAGACAUGGUGGUAAUGUAAGAAGAAAGGGACUUAGAUCCCAGAGUUAUGCUAGGAGGAGAUGUGCCAAGGAGAGUCAAUUGUCAACUGACACGGGGCUGUAAAAUAACUAAGAAAUAAGGAUUUAGAGUUGUUUGUCACAGUAGCAUAAUCUCAUCUAUUCUGGUCCUUACCAUCAUAAAUAUGUUAUAGAAUGCAAUAUCAGGAACUGGAAGAUACUACUUUGAAGUUUUUUUCUUUCUUUUCUAUUGUAUUUUCACAGAGGAACAGCAGUUUUUGUGAAGUUAGAAAGGAGUAUGAGAUAAAACUCUGUAAAAAAAGAAUAGCAAAUACCACUGGCUGACCCCUUUCUGCUUACCUGGCAAUGUGCCAAAUAAGUUUUCACUGACUGAGCCAUCCAGAUGCCCCUUGUGCCAAAUAAUUUUUAAACAGUGUUUACUGGGUUGCUCGUAGCAACCCUAUGAAAGGGUUACUAUUUAAUCAUCACCACCUACCUGUGAGGAACUUGAGGUGUAGAUAUGAGAAGAAACUUAAUCAAGAUUCUAGAGCAAGUGAGUUCCAGAGUUAUGACUUGAACUCAAGUUCUUCUAACUCCAAAUUUCAUGCUGUGAACAAUGGCAAUGAACUCAACUUUAAAGCUUCCAGAAACAAGUUAGUUUAGAAAGAAGUAAUUCUAACUGGAGACAAUGGUCGGAAAUAUUCUAGUGUUUCCCUGCCACAGUUGCAACAUUUUCAUGACUCUUACAUUGCCAGAGAGGUGAGGUUAUUGAAGCAGUAUGAGAUGGGAAAUGCCUGCACGGUGGCUCCUUGCCUGUGGAUUCCUCAUUAUUAUCACUGCCAGGAAAGCCAACUGUAUGAGAGAAGAGGGAGUAAAGUCAGAACAGGCUCUGUGAUGUGCAUUAAACAGCCCUUGGAAUCAGCUGCUGGUAACCCAAAGAUAUGUUGAGUUACUUAUGCCUGUAUUGAAUUUGAAAGUCCACUACCACUUUACAGGUGAGAAUUUUAAAUGCCUGAAAAUGAACGUCAAGGCACUGUGGCUGUUUAGGUAUUCCAUAUUGCAUGUAGAACCUGAUGUGUGACUAUCAUUUAAUAGAAUUUGCAAAUGACGUAUUUAUUAGACAUUGAUGAAUCUCACAAGAUGGAGAGGUUCAGAUAAGCAUCCUGAGAUUCUGAAACUCAUAAUUUGCACUUGUAAACAUGUUAAGGGUUUUCUUUUUUAAUUUAGAAGCAAACUACUUUCAUGAUGCCUCCUGAGUGUGGAAAUUUGUGUUUACAAAAACUACUUUUCUUGAAAUAGAGGAAGACAGGAUAAUAUAAUCUGUAUGAAAAACAAGGAGCCUUUUAGGAUAAUAUAAUAUGAUGAAAAGAAGUAUAAAAAAAGGAAAGGUGAAAUGGUAUAGGAAAGAGACAAGAAAAAUCAGAAAUAGAGGAGGGGGAAAUAAAUCAAAAAUUGGAGGAAGUGGUAAAGGGAGAAUUUUUUUUAAGGAGGUUGCUCAACUAUUUAUAAUUUCCAUGAAGAAAUACUGUGAGUAAUGGCUUCAGAAAAUUCUACACUGAAGAGUGCUUACGGAAAGAUAGUCAAUUUGUGAAUGUUUCUAUUACUACAGGGAAAAAUAAUGAUUAAUAAUUUAAAACAAUAGAUAAUCCUAAAACAUUCAUUCUGUACUUCUCUUUGGGAUGCAUCUGGAGGUCACUGCCUCUUACAUGUACUUACACACACACAUACACACACAUAUUCUGUGCUCCCUCUCAGUUCUUGCCCACGGUAAACAAAUGGGUGUGCAUGAUGAAAUCUCCCGCAAACUCACAUCCCAUAUCAAUACAGAUAAACCACUUAAGAAGGAUGGAAUUAAUAUGGUUGCCUCAUAAUCCUCCGUAAGCUAUAAAGGUUUCCUUUUUGAAAAGCAGAUGAGAUAAUAUGCCUCUAGUAUCAGGAUGAUGUUCCCUGUCAGCAGAGGAAGAAGGGAGAGAAGAGAUAAAAGAAACCCCUUUAAUGUGAAUUACUUUGUGACUGGAAAUUCACAAGUACAUCUCGGAAGGUCUGAGCAGCCACUGCGCUGCUGCUCACAAGGUGCUGAUAAGCAGUGCAGUUUAUUUCCAUCAUCGCAAGAUAACUGUAGGAAGACCACCCGCACACAUGGGUGGAAGGAGAGGCAGCAAGCCUCAGAGAAUAUCUCCUCGGAUGGUCUGGUAUUGCCAUCGUUUAUUACUCUGUCCUUGUUUCCACCACCAUUGCCCCAUCCUCUUACCCACCUCAAUGCUCAAGUGCAAGAAUUAGUAGUAUAGCUGACUGAGAAAAAGAGAUGAUGCACUUAAUAGGAGCACAUGAGAUGAAUUCUAAAACCUGCCCAUGGAUCCAUGUCCAGUGUCUAGCUCAGCUUUAACCACAUAGUUGGCACACGCCAUACUAGUUUUCUUCCUUUCUUGUCAAACAUGCUCUUCCUAAUCUCCACCUUCUUAGGCUGGUUUAUUUGGAGUUGGCAUCUGGGAGGAGGUUGACUAGGUUUCUAUGUGGUCUUUUGAUUCAACAGAGCAGGCUAAAGACAGCCUCAAGAGUUCUCAAAAGUUUGAGAACCACAAUUCCAUGAAAUGUGCAAUAACUUCUCAAGUCCAAGAUUAGUCAUUUGGUCCUCUGUUCUUCCUCUUAACAUAUGAAAGAAUGAGAAUAAAGAACUCUUUCCCAUUUCCUAAUUCAUUUCCAGUAACAAUAUUGUAUUACUGACAUAUUUCAUAAAGUUGUUGCCUUAUAUUUUUCUAGAAAUAAAUAGACAAUAGUAACAAAAACAGUGACUUUCAUGCAUUGAGAAAUUACAGCCAUUGGCCAGUAACUGAAGUAAUUUUUCAUAUAUGAUCUUAUUUUAUACUUAUAACAACUUUUGUAAGGGUUAUUAUUAUUCCUAAAUUAUGACUUUCAGAUUAUAAUUAGAUGAACUGAAUAAGAACAUUGGUAAAUUAUCAGAAAAAAAAUAUUUAAUACAUUCCCAAACCCUACCAGAAUUUCCAUUAAUCUUUACUGAAAAGCAAGUUCAAGAUUUCAGUGUUGCUUUAAUAAGCAUGAGCUAGCCAUAAUAUGGCUGAGCUGGAGAAUGUAGAUGACUCAUUUUAUGAUCACCCCCCCCGCCUUUGCCUGCUGUAGCUAACACUAUCAAGCACUUCCUUAUGUUACCAUUUAAAUUCAUCCAAAUAAAUUAAUUGAUGAAAAGAUAUUGGAGAUUAUGUAAUUACUUCCUCUGGCUCUGGUGGUGUUGCCAUCUGACAUCCAGGCAGCAAGACGAGAUCUAAAUUAAAUGCAAAUAAUUGUUCACAAUUAGGAAAUGAAAUGCCUGAAGAACCCCAUGGUAUUUUAAACAAGCUGAUGUACUUGCCACCGAUCAACAGUUGAGGCUUUCUAGCAUGUACUUGGCUUGAGUCCCAAUGAUGACAUUAUGCAUAGCGACAAGUUCCCCUGCUACAUCAGAUACAGUAAUUCCCAAGGAUGCAUCCUUCAGUAAGAAGUUGACUUUUGUAGGAGUGUGUGGAUAAAAAAAUAUUCUUAGUUCAAGUUUGUCAGGGGUACUGAGUGGUUUAUUUCAGAUCAUACAGUAACUUGUAAUAUAAAAAUUUACCUUGACAGUCUUUUAAUCAUCUUAUAGGUCUUGGGGACUGAUCAAAAGUAUUCUCAAGGGAAAACAUGUCUGGCCUUCUCUCAGUGCAGUUAAGCCGGUGGGUAUUGUGUUGCUUUGUUUUAGUUCUCAGGCAAAGAGGUUAUUCAUUUUUAAGAUGUUUCUCAGGAUCCUUGAAGACCUUGAUGUCAUGGGUUCCAUCCAUGCAUAUAAUGAGCAAAACUGACCAAUAAAAAGAGUUCACUGCCUUUGAACAUGCUGAAAAAGAUGCUACAUUUUCAAAAGAGACCAGGACAGAAUGGUGAGGAGAAAACAUAAGCCUGAAAACAAUAAAAUGUUUCCAAAGAAUAUGACCUUAAUAGGCUAACAGCCUAGAUGGGUACAAAGGUUUUUAUAAACACUAUUAGUAUUCAUUUAGUAUAGGUAGCAGACAGCAACAAGAAUUGGAAAAUAAUUUGGAUGUGAUCACUGAAGGGACAGAGGGAGGCAAAAAAACAUAAGCUUCUUCCUGAGCACAAUCUUAGUGUCACCGGAGAGCACAGUUGGAAUGUCCUCCUUUCCUGAUUAGCAACCAUCUAAUCAAGGACACAGAGUGCCUGCCAGGUCUAUAGACAAGAUCAUGCCAAAAAACAGAAGUGUUCAGGCUAUGAUGUUUUCAACUUCUUGUAAGCACCAGGUUAAGAACAAUUUAAAAAGUAAUUAUUUGGGGUAAAUUUCAGGGGAUGGUGAAUAGGGUAGUAGUUCUUUUUAAAUGAAAAGAAAAUCUUCAGAAGUCAUUAAAUCCAAAACCUUGGAAUUUAUCUAUAGGUAGCUAAGGUAGGAGGGCAUAGAGAUAAAGCAGGGAAAGUCCCAAAUACAUAUAUACAAGUAUAAUGACAGAUUUAACUAGAACAGCUGUUCAAAGAAACACUCCUGUUUUUUUUCUUCCUCAUGAUUUUUCUUUUUUUUUAAUACGAAAUUUAUUGUCUAAUUGGUUUCCAUACAACACCCAGUGCUCAUCCCAAAAGGUGCCCUCCUCAAUUCCCAUCACCCACCCCCCUCCCUCCCACCCCCCAUCAACCCUCAGUUUAUUCUCAGUUUUUAAGAGUCUCUUAUGGUUUGCCUCCCUCCCUCUCUAACCUCUUUUUUUUUCCUUCCCCUCCUCAUGGUCUUCUGUUAAGUUUCUCAGGAUCCACAUAAGAGUGAAACCAUAUGGUAUCUGUCUUUCUCUGUAUGGCUUAUUUCACUUAGCAUCACACUCUCCAGUUCCAUCCACGUUGCUACAAAAGGCCAUAUUUCAUUCCUUCUCAUUGCCACGUAGUACUCCAUUGUGUAUAUAAACCACAAUUUCUUUAUCCAUUCAUCAGUUGAUGGACAUUUAGGCUCUUUCCAUAAUUUGGCUAUUGUUGAGAGUGCUGCUAUUAACAUUGGGGUACAGGUGCCCUUAUGCCUCAGCACUCCUGUAUCCCUUGGAUAAAUUGCUAGCAGUGCUAUUGCUGGGUCGUAGGGUAGAUCUAUUUUUAAUUUUCUGGGGAACCUUCACGCUGUUUUCCAGAGCGGCUGCACCAGUUUGCAUUCCCACCAACAGUGCAAGAGGGUUCCCGUUUCUCCACAUCCCCUCCAGCAUCUAUAGUCUCCUGAUUUGUUCAUUUUAGCCACUCUGACUGGUGUGAGGUGGUAUCUGAGUGUGGUUUUGAUCUGUAUUUCCCUGAUGAGGAGCGACAUUGAGCAUCUUCUCAUGUGCCUGUUGGCCAUCUGGAUGUCUUCUUUAGAGAAGUGUCUAAACAUGAACACUCCUGUUUUUUAAUGUUAGGGACAUGUGUUUCUCUUUCCUAACAAAUAACCAUCUAUUGUUGAAGGGUUCUAGAGGAAGAAAAAAGAAAAUUGGUUGGUUUGGGUCAGUAGGGUGUGAAAACAAUGAUGAAACACAGUAUUGGGAAGGGGUUGGAUUUGCAUUUUGAAUAGUGAUGACAUUACAAAUAAAGCUGUGCUCUUACUAUUCAAAUAAAGAUGAGAGGGAACAGAAUUAAAAUGAUCUCUCUGAAAUGAGGAUCUGAUGAUGUUCGUCUCUGAGAUAAAAUUGACAAAUGUCCAAAGUCCUUACCAAUUUACCUCAAAACUUUAUUCUCAGUUUCAUCAGCCUUUCCCUGCAUUUUGCCACAUUUCCUUCCCAACCCCUACACAAAUUAGUAUAUGUGCUGCCAAAGCGAGCACAGCCCCUACACAAAUUAAUUCUAGAUUUCAGCUUCAUGGAAACUCCAUCUUGUCUCAGCACACUGCUGUCCUAUGCCCCUAUGUUUUGUACACAUGGUUCCAAGUGAUUUGGAAAUCUACCCUCCCGUCACCCAGUUUCUAUGUGAACAUUUCUACUGCUUUUUAAAGCUUUGCUGGAACUUCCAGAUACAAAGUUAUUCAUUCUUUGUGAGCGCAAUUGUGUAAACUCUAAUACUCAUCACACGUGUGUUCAUUGUUUAUGUGCAUUUCUGCAUCCAAAAGUAGACUUCUUCUCCAUGAUAAGGAUGGUGUCUUACUGAUCUUUGGAUCUCAGAGGCCCAGUAAAGAAGGCAGUAUAGUAUAGUAGACAAGAGCAAAGACUCUGGAGUCAGAGAGUUGGCUUCACAUCUCUUCUAUCCUACUCAGCAAUUGUAUGACCAUCGUCAGGUCCCUCUGAAUUCCAUUUUUAUCAUCUAUAGUGAUUAUCAUAAUACUCACUUAACUAUUAUGAAUUUCAUAAUAUUUACCAGGUAGGAUGAGAUAAAAUAACAUAUGUAAAAUGCUUAGCACAUUACCAAGCACACAGAAGUACUUAGUGAAUUGUAGCUAUUUUUAUUACUACAGUCAAUGUUGAGGAAAGAAUGUUGCACUAUUGUAUAUUCCUCAGGAUUAAGGAGUAAAAAAUAAAACAUUUAUAAGAAAGUCAAUGUUCUAGGCUCACUUCUAUUGAAGUGAGAAUAUUGGAUUUGAAUCAAAAAGAAUUAAAAAGCAAGGUGUGUGAGCUACAGCCCAGACAUUUGAAGUGUACAGGAGAAAAAUACAAAAUAAUUUUGUUAGUUACUAAUUAAGUGAAUUUAAAAAUAAGUUUCUUUGCAUUUCAACACAUGUAUUAAAAGGGAAUAAGAAGGAGGGGUGCCUGGGUGGCUGGGUCAGUUAAGCGUCCAACUUUUGAUUUCAGCUCAGGUCAUAAUCUCAUGGUUCGUGAGAUUGAGCCCUAUGAUGGGUUCUGCACUCACAGUGUGGAGCUUGCUUGGGGUUUUCUCUUUCCCUCUCUCUCUGCCCCUACUCAUUCUCCUCUCUCUCUUAAAAAAUAACAAAUAAGUAAACAUUUUAAAAAAGGGAAUAGGAAGGAAAAUAAUAUUUAUUGAUGAAUACCUGGUUAUAAACAUUUUCACACAUAUCAUCUCAGUUAAUCCUCUCUGAAAAAUAUCAUACCCAUUUAACAGAUGGUGCAACAGGCUCAGGAAAGUUAUUUCCUCAAGUAGCUUACUUCAUGAUGUUAGGUAGAAUCCUGGCCUAAAUCUAUGAAUCAUGUUCAUCUUUUUCAUUCAUUUGUUCAUAGAAACCAAUAUUUGUAAAGCUCCUGUGUUGUUCUAGAUCUUGUAGAGUGAGUGGUCAUCAAAUCAAACAAGGUCCCUGCCUCCACAGAGCUUACAUCUUAGUGGGAGGAGAGCAAAAAAGUGCAUAAAAAAUAAACAAGAGUAAUGUCAUGAAGAGUGAUGACAGAGAUGUAACUACCUUAGAUUGGAUGGUCUGGGAAGGCCUUGCUAAUAGGUGGCACUUUGGGUUGAGACCUGAGUAAUAAGUAGCCACCUAGAACAUUCCAGGAAAAGUAAUAAAUGCUAUGACUCUGAGGCAGAAAUAAGCAUGUUUAGUUAGAAUAGCAGACAGGAAAAAAAAAAAGAUGGUGGAAAACCCAUGUUCUUCCAUUAUAUUGUGCCAAAAAGAAACAAGGAUCAAGAUGGGCAAGAAACCUAGAAAAGAGCUAGCAUUGUGACAGAAAUGUAAAUGGAAGGCAUGAAUCAAGAUGUUAUUAAGGGGCACCUGGCUGGCUCAGUUGGUUAAGCGAGACUGCACUUACAGUGUGGAUUCUCUCUCUCCCUCUCUCUCUGCCCCUCCCCUGCUCAUGCUCUGUCUCUCUCUCAAAACAAACAAACAAACAAACAAACAAACUUAAAAAAAUGUUAUUAAAACAGCUCCACCUGGAGGUUGUGGUCCUUAGCCUUGAGGAUACAGAAAUUAUGUUAUAUAAAGACCUUUAAGUAGACAAUUUGGUGAGACUUGCUCACAGUAAUACUACAUAAAGGCUGAAGUCUAUAAGCCAUUCUAUUAUAUUGCAAUGUGAAAUAUAACUUCCCAGUCCUCCCCCAGUAGAUACUUGACUGUAAUCAUAGAGCUACUAUGUUUCUCCUUAUUGUCAUAUUACAUGGGAUAGCAAAUUACUAUUAUCAGCCUUCUUUGUGAGUAAGGAAUCAGAGCUAGGAGAGAAAAAGUGAUUUGAAGAUUUCCUAUAUCUGUCUCAGAUUGUCCAUAAUAGAUACCUGCCAUAUGGGCAAGAGUGUAGCAUUUGCUUUCCCCGGCACUCUUUGCUUGUUCAGCAUUUAGAAAGUCUUGAUUAGUGCUGACUUCUCAAACACUCCUUUUUCUCCUUGUGUUCCCAUUGCAAGCCUAGCAUUCCUGGAGGCUCAAAGACAAUCUCUAUAAUAACUGAAGAGAGAAUGAAUUAAUGUAUGACUCCUUCUGAUUGAUACCCUAUUUUCUGUAUGUUUUUUCUUUCCUUUGAAAUAGUCCUUUUCUGAUCAAGAAACUAUAUCUGUAGUAGCCGUAAAGUGCUUUUGCAUUCCUCUGUUCCAGUCCUGUAUGUGUUCGUAUGUAUGAUACUCAAGGUGAAUACUGAACUAAGAAAUUCACACUUGAGAGGAAAACACAAUAAGGAGUCUGGUAAGCAUUACGGCCCAGGAAAAUUACUGUGCAAAAAUAAAGGAAAGACCAUUUAACUAAGAAGGAUAUCAUGCUUCUCAGAAGCUCUUUGGGUUUAUUUAUAUAUUUUUUCAUCUUUACAAGUUGACCAUUUAUAUAGAUCCUGCUUAAGUUCCCAUAAAUUUUUCAAAGUAACAGUAGUCUUGAGAUGAUCUUGGACUUUCAAGGGUCACAGGAUGGUCUUUGUGUAAUAGAAUUACUCAUUACUUCCUCAAGUCACCACUCAACUUCUAAAUAUGUUAAGGUCUAUAUUAAACUGGAAAGAAAUUUAGACUUCUAUUCAGCCUAAAAAGACUACAUAAUAGAAGUAAUAAUUGGUUUGCAGAAGAAUGCUGCCUGGGUUCACCUACUGGAACUUAACCAACUGCAUGAUGAUCAAAUACUCCAGGAGUAGUUUCAGUUCUUUAUGUAUUUUAGAUAUUAACCCCUUCUUGGAUAUGCCUUUUGCAAGUAUCUUCUCCCAUUCAGUAGGAUGCCUUUUUGUUUUGUUGAUGGUUCUCUUCACUAUGAAAAAGCUUUUUAUUUUGGUGUAAUCCCAGUAGUUCAUUUUUGCUUUUAUUUCUCCUGCCUGAGGAGACAUUUCUAGAAAAAGUUGCUACAACCAAUGCCAGAAAAGUUAUUGCUUAUGUUUUCUAAUAGGAGCUUUAUGGCUUCAUGUCUCACAGUUAGGUCUUUAAUCCAUUUUGAGUUUUUUUCUGUGGUAUGGUAUAAAAAAGUCGUCCAGUGUCAUUCUCUCGCAUACAGCUGUCCAACAUUCCCAGCACCAUUUAUUGAAGGCUGCCUUUUCCUCAUUGUGUACUCUUGCCUCCUUUGUUGUAGAUCAGUAAGCAAGCAUUUAUUUCUGGGCUGUCUGUUCUCUUCCAUUGAUCUAUGUAUCUGCUUUUGUGCCAGUGCCAUACUGUUUUGAUUAUUAUUGCUUAGUAGAAGAUCUUGAAAUUUGUGAUGGUGAUACCUACGGCUUUGUCCUUCUUUCUCAAGAUUUCUUUGGCUAUUUGUGGUCUUUUGUCAAUCCAUACAAAUUUUAGUAUUAUUUGUUCUAAUCCUCUGAAAAAUGCUGUUGGUAUUUUGAUAGGGAUUGCAUUGAAUCUAGAUUGCUUUGGGUGGUAUGAGCAUUUUAACAAUAUUAGUUCUUUUCCAUAAGCAUGGAAUAUAUUCCCAUUUGUUGUGUCAUUGUCAAUUUCUUUCAUCAAUGUUUUAUGGUUUUCAGAGUCUAAAUCAUUCACCUGUUUGGUUAAGUUUAUUCCUAUCUAUUUCAUUCUUUCUGGUGCAAUUGCAAAUG